GCGUUCGUAGCUCACUUGGAUAGAGCGACGGACUUCGAAUCCGUAGGUAGCAGGUUCGAUUCCUGUCGAGCGCA
rnacentral:tRNA from 1 species